CAGUCGCCGCGGUAAUACAGAGGAUGCAAGCGUUGUCCGGAAUUAUUGGGCGUAAAGGGCUCGCAGGCGGUUUCUUAAGUCUGAUGUGAAAGCCCCCGGCUCAACCGGGGAGGGUCAUUGGAAACUGGGAAACUUGAGUGCAGAAGAGGAGAGUGGAAUUCCACGUGUAGCGGUGAAAUGCGUAGAGAUGUGGAGGAACACCAGUGGCGAAGGCGACUCUCUGGUCUGUAACUGACGCUGAGGAGCGAAAGCGUGGGGAGCGAACAGGAUUAGAUACCCCAGUAGUCCCUGUCUCUUAUAA
rnacentral:rRNA from 1 species